rnacentral:rRNA from 1 species
GAUGAACGCUAGCGGCAGGCUUAACACAUGCAAGUCGAGGGGCAGCACGUCUUCGGAUGGUGGCGACCGGCGCACGGGUGAGUAACGCGUAUGCAAUCUACCUUUUACAGGGGCAUAGCCCGGGGAAACCCGGAUUAAUAUCCUAUAGUACCAUUAUAUAGCAUUAUAUUAUGGUUAAAGUUUCGGCGGUAAAAGAUGAGCAUGCGUCCUAUUAGCUUGAUGGUAAGGUAACGGCUUACCAUGGCUAUGAUAGGUAGGGGUCCUGAGAGGGAGACCCCCCACACUGGUACUGAGACACGGACCAGACUCCUACGGGAGGCAGCAGUGAGGAAUAUUGGACAAUGGGCGCAAGCCUGAUCCAGCCAUGCCGCGUGCAGGAAGACGGCCCUAUGGGUUGUAAACUGCUUUUUANACGGGAAGAAACACCCCUUCGUGAAGGGACUUGACGGUACCGUAUGAAUAAGGAUCGGCUAUCUCCGUGCCAGCAGCCGCGGUAAUACGGAGGA